rnacentral:tRNA from 1 species
CAGAGUAUAGCUUAGCCUAGAAGAGCACCUCCCUUACACCGAGAAGACAUCCGUGCAAACCGGAUUACCCUGA